rnacentral:lncRNA from 1 species
GCUCUGCUGAUAUCGUCUUUAACAGCAGUGUUUUCUCCCAGGUCUUCUUCAAGCCAGUUAAGAGAGGAAGAACAGCUUAGACACUCAGGCAGCUGAACGCACCAAAGAUGGACAUCAUGCAGCCACCCUGAGCCUUGAGCCUCUCUGUGCUCUUUGCUGCUGCAGACCUGGUGAAGUUGCUCUGGACAGAAAUAUUUUUUGCUCUGCUGCAGUGCUGAAGGUAUUCAUUGUAAUGAUGUGUGUAUUUAUUCAACGUGUUUAGUUUCACAGAUUGUCAACACAAAUGUUUCUGUUUAUUUCCUGUUUUGAACCAGCUACAUUCUCCUGCUUCAAGUCACUGUCUGUUCAUCCACGGUGUAGCCAGUGCAGCUCAGCAGAGUCCUAAUAAUGGUGAUCCUUCAAGUCCUGCGAAGCAAGCUGCAGCAGAUGUCAUCACAUUCAGAUCAUCAUUUUUAUCUUUACUGCAGCUUUAAAGUUUCCCUGAGGUAACGGUGUAUUUCCUUGCCCCAUAACAAAAACCAUGUUUGACCAACAUAGAAAAGCACAGAAUUACUGUUAGCACAGGAUUACAGAGUUAAAGUGAAGGGGAUUUUGUUUGUUUUUUUCAGACCUCUCCUCCUCCUCCUGCCUCUGACUCCAGUGAUGCUGUCAACUCGAACACUGAUAACUGCACACGGCGAUUCUACAACCACAGGUCAAAGGUCAAAACAUUACCUCAC